rnacentral:rRNA from 1 species
CACGUAGGGGGCGAGCGUUGUUCGGAAUUACUGGGCGUAAAGGGCAUGUAGGCGGUUUUGUAAGCUUGGCGUGAAAGACCACGGCUCAACCGUGGGGUUGCGUUGAGAACUGCGAAGCUUGAGUUAUGGAGAGGGAGCUAGAAUUCCUGGUGUAGGGGUGGAAUCUGUAGAGAUCAGGAAGAAUACCAAUGGCGAAGGCAAGCUCCUGGCCGAUGACUGACGCUGAGGUGCGAAAGUGUGGGGAUCAAACAGGAUUAGAUACCCCCGUAGUCC